rnacentral:sRNA from 1 species
ACAUUGCACAGUCACCUAGGACCUGAACAAGGCAAGUUCUCUCUGUCCGUCUGGUUCCAGGUGUUGCAAAAAAUUGACGUCCAGGAGUCCUUCUGUAUGGAAGAAAAACAGAACAAAUUCCGGGUGUACCAGCUGCGGUUUCAGUUCCUGCCACAUGCGUAUUACCAGCAGGAGAAGUGCCUGAGACCCGAGGACAUCCUGCGCUUCAUGGAAACAAGAUUCUUUAAACUUCUGAUGGAAUCCAUCAAAAAGAAGAAUAAUAAAGCAUCAGCCUUCAGGAACGUAAAUACUCGAAGAGCUACGCAGCGGGAUCUGGACAAUGCUGGGGAGUCAGGGAGGAGUCGGGGAGAGCAGGAAGGCGAUGAAGAAGAGGAGGGGCACAUUGUGGAUGCUGAAGCUGAGGAGGGGGACUUCGAUGCCUCUGAUGCCAAACGCAAGGAGAAGCAGGAGGAGGAGGUUGAUUAUGAGAGUGAGGAAGAGGAGGAGAGGGAGGGCGAGGAGAACGACGAUGAAGACAUGCAGGAGGAACGAAAUCCCCGCAGGGAAGGUGCUCGAAAGACCCAAGAGCAAGACGAAGAGGUGGGCUCA